CUACGGGUGGCUGCAGUGAGGAAUUUUGCGCAAUGGGGGAAACCCUGACGCAGCAACGCCGCGUGAGCGAAGAAGGCCUUCGGGUCGUAAAGCUCUGUCAAGUGGGAAAAAGGUCUAUGGAUUAACAGUCGAUAGGUUUGAUGGUACCACUGGAGGAAGCACCGGCUAACUCCGUGCCAGCAGCCGCGGUAAUACGGAGGGUGCAAGCGUUGUUCGGAAUUACUGGGCGUAAAGGGCGUGCAGGCGGUUUGGCAAGUCAGAUGUGAAAGCCCUGGGCUUAACCCAGGAAGUGCAUUUGAAACUGCCAUUCUUGAGUAUGGGAGAGGAGAGUGGAAUUCCUGGUGUAGAGGUGAAAUUCGUAGAUAUCAGGAGGAACACCCGUGGCGAAGGCGACUCUCUGGACCAAUACUGACGCUGAGACGCGAAAGCGUGGGGAGCAAACAGGAUUAGAUACCCCCGUAGUC
rnacentral:rRNA from 1 species